rnacentral:rRNA from 1 species
UACGGAGGGUGCAAGCGUUAUCCGGAUUUACUGGGUUAAAGGGUGCGUAGGCGGGCAGGUAAGUCAGGGGUGAAAUCCUGGAGCUCAACUCCAAGAACUGCCUUUGAUGACUGAAGAUCUUGGAGUUCGGGAGAGGGAUGUGGAAUUCCAGGUGUAGCGGUGAAAUGCGUAGAUAUCUGGAGGAACACCGGUGGCGAAGGCAGGUCACUGGGCCGCAACUGACGCUGAGGAGGCGAAAGCAUGGGGAGCGAACGAG